UACGUAGGAGGCGAGCGUUGUCCGGAAUCACUGGGCGUAAAGGGUGCGUAGGCGGGUUUUUAAGUCAGGGGUGAAAUCCUGGAGCUCAACUCCAGAACUGCCUUUGAUACUGAGGAUCUUGAGUUCGGGAGAGGUGAGUGGAACUGCGAGUGUAGAGGUGAAAUUCGUAGAUAUUCGCAAGAACACCAGUGGCGAAGGCGGCUCACUGGCCCGAUACUGACGCUGAGGCACGAAAGCGUGGGGAGCAAACAGG
rnacentral:rRNA from 1 species